GAACGCACCUUGCGCCCUUUGGCUAUUCCGAAGGGCAUGCCUGUUUGAGUAUCAUGAACACCUCAACUCUCAUGGUUUUUCCAUGAUGGGCUUGGACUUUGGGGGUCUUGCUGGCCUGUGGUCAGCUCCUCUUAAAUGAAUCAGCUUGCCAGUGUUUGGUGGCAUCACAGGUGUGAUAACUAUCUACGCUUGUGGUUUUCCAUCAAGUAACCUUCAGUGAUGGAGGUUCGCUGGGGCUCAUAAAGGCCUCUCCUCGGUGAGGAUGGCUCCUUUGAACGUUUGAUCUCAAAUCAGGUAGGACUACCCGCUGAACUUAAG
rnacentral:misc_RNA from 1 species